rnacentral:rRNA from 1 species
AACGCUGGCGGCGUGCCUAAUACAUGCAAGUCGAGCGAACAGACGAGGAGCUUGCUCCUCUGACGUUAGCGGCGGACGGGUGAGUAACACGUGGAUAACCUACCUAUAAGACUGGGAUAACUUCGGGAAACCGGAGCUAAUACCGGAUAAUAUAUUGAACCGCAUGGUUCAAUGGUGAAAGACGGUUUUGCUGUCACUUAUAGAUGGAUCCGCGCCGCAUUAGCUAGUUGGUAAGGUAACGGCUUACCAAGGCAACGAUGCGUAGCCGACCUGAGAGGGUGAUCGGCCACACUGGAACUGAGACACGGUCCAGACUCCUACGGGAGGCAGCAGUAGGGAAUCUUCCGCAAUGGGCGAAAGCCUGACGGAGCAACGCCGCGUGAGUGAUGAAGGUCUUCGGAUCGUAAAACUCUGUUAUUAGGGAAGAACAAAUGUGUAAGUAACUAUGCACGUCUUGACGGUACCUAAUCAGAAAGCCACGGCUAACUACGUG